ACAUAAUGUACUUUGUAAAUUAAAUAGACAUACUGAUGGAAAUACAUUAAGUGCAAGAACACAAAUAAUGGAUCGUUGAUACUACGGCUUCAGAGAUUUACUACUCGGUUAACUUGAUCAUGACACCUGAGUGCAUAUUGUGGACGGUCAUCAACACCCAGGUAAUAGCGGUAGAGGCUAUACCCAUCAGCACUGUUGAUGCUACUGUGACGUUGGAGAGAGGAGGGGUCACAAUUAGAGGAGGCCGAUGAGCGUGUCCGGGCGCAUGGACAUGUUCUCCACCCUGAGCAUGAACAAGAAGACUGUGUAAAUGUGAUGAUUGAAUAGAUAAGAAGUUUGCUGACUGGGGUUUAAGAGAUGUACCAGUAUUCCUGUACUUAAAUCACCUUUCAUUUGUAACUCUGAUGCGCUCAUCAUUUGAGGACUGUUGCUCAUCUUCUUUCUCCCUGAAAUAUUCCUCCACACAUUGCUCCUCAAACUCAUACAGCAUCUUCAGCUCUUCCGGGCGACAACAUAGUUUGCGAAUAAGGAUGUAGAGGUGGCUAAAAAUAAUCAGUGGUGGAGGCAGCACAGGCCUGUCGUGGAAGGUCAUGAUGAGCUGAUAUCUCUGAAACUUCCACACCUGGUUCGAAAUGGACUUAACCUCAAAGAAUGUGUUGCUUUAAUGAGACAAAACACAGUAGUGAAUCAGCACCACUGAACUGUUAAAAGAUAUACACGAAUGAAGACGUUUUUUGUAAAGACCAAUAGCCACAAAUUGUUUGUUUUUUACAUGCUACAAAUGAAAUAAGUCAUCAAAACCAUGAAAUGGUAGCAUUCUUACUUGAAGACAGCAAUGAGCAAAUUCACAAGCAGGAUGUUGGCCACUAACAAAUAACAGGCCAUGAUGGCUGGAGUCAACCAGGCUCCCGGGAUGCAGGGUGGAAGCUUUUUCCCAUCCUCAUCGUAUAAG